CUGCCUGCUGCUGCUGCCGCCAAGAGCUGCCUGCUGCUGCUGCUGCCUGCUCGUCAUCCCCUCUCUCCUCUCUAUUUCUAGGGUUUCUCUCUCUCCUUAUCCACCGGAGAUUCCUAUCCAUCCGCUUGCAGCCCCAACAUUGCCGCUCUCAUAUGGAUUUCAAUGGUCAUCUGCGGGUGGUGCGGAAGCGCAGAUUUGAGAAGCAAAUCGCCGAUACAUGCCUCUGCGUAGCCCCAAAUCUACCCUCUUGAUUAGCUGCUGCGUUUGAUUUCGUUUCACAUGUUUGAGUGCAGAUUUUCAAUUCGUCACCCCCUAAUUGAUUUUGCAUCCCGUUACUCACAGCUCGCCGCUUGUAACUACUCGGUAUCGUCGGAGGCACAGGGUCACAUCAGGGCUGGGAUUCAAGUUGAGGGCACAUGGAUUUUUUUCAUGCCGUCAGAGGGAAGGCCUCAUCCUUUUUUUUAAAGAAAAAAUAUAGCAGAAAGAACCACAUACAGCCUGUUCGUCUUGCUGAUCAGCGCUGGUUGGCUGGUGCUGUAGCUACAGUACCAUUGUAGCUACAGUACCGGUACAGCACGCGCUCCCACGUGUAAUCGAGAUUAUACCAUGUGUAGUUGCUACAGUAAUCAGCCGCUACAGUAUUCAGCCAAGCCAAACCAUCCAGCCGAACAGGCCGAUAGUUGCCAUUUUAAUUGUUUGUAUAUGCAGGGUGCAGACAUCACAUUCAUGCUCCACCUGAGAGGUCGAGAACCAGGUUAAUGCUAUUCAAAUAACCAUAGCCUGGUUCCAAUGACAUGAGGGCAAAGAAGCAGCAAGGUCGUGCUAACUCAUCUAAUGUGGAUCAACAAGAAGUUAGUGUAGUUUAUUAAGCACAACAAUUCAGGAAUCUGUCGGUUUUGGUAAGUCGAGUUUUCAUGUUUAAAAUUAUGAAAGAAGUAUCACAUGUUAGACACUACUAGGAUUGGGAUCACAUAUUAAACCACAUCGCUCCUUGCUAAUUGUUCAUGUUGAUAUAUAUAUAUAUAUAUAUAUAUAUAUAUAUAUAUAUAUAUAUAUAUAUAUAUAGCAUUUAAGUUGACACCAAGCAUUUUGAUGAUUACUCAAUACCAAUUUAGUAAUCCGGUAUAGGCAGUAAUAUUGUAUUUAUUAGGCAAUAACAUUAUUUAUUGAUUAAACAUUGGGUUUACUGGAAUUCAUCUGUAGGUUGCCUAUGCUAAAUCAAUAAGCAGAUUGUGCAAUUUUUAGUCUAGCAUUGUUUUGUAUGGAAAAUAUCUGCACCACAAACAUGUUGUAAAUAUUUAUGAAAAACACUAGCUCUGCAUAAGUACAGCUGAGCCUAAUCAUAGCAAUUUUGUUAGUCUAUUUUUCAUCUUGGUGCGGGUAAUAAGCCCAUCAUUUUUGCUAUAUCUUUGUCUUAGAGCUAUGUUGGUGUAACUAGCCCAAUUUUUCAAAACAAUAUAGUUUGGUAGGCAAUAAUGUGGUUCUGACUAUACACUUUUUUAGUUGUAACUUGGCAAAACAAUGUACUUUGUUAGGCAAAAUUACAGUUCCCAUCUAGGCAUUAAUAUGGGGUGAAUUAGGAAAUAUUAGGGUUUUGGAUCAUACAAAUCAAUAUACUUCAUUAGGUAACAAAAUACUUGGAAUGCACAUCUAAAAUGCUUAAUUGGUAUCAUUAAAAUACAAACUAAAUAUUAAUCUAAAUGCUCAUGCAUGCACCAGGACCCUUUUCUUGCAUGCUAUAUGCUAACUGAUUUGGUUCUCUUUUUCUCGUUAUGUGACGGAUCAUGAAAGGAGAUCCUCAGUUAUGCAAGUAUAAAGAUAACACGCAUUUGUGAUAAUAUGUUGGUAGAUAUUUUUUUACCGAGAUGCAUACAUAGCACCAUGAGUCAUGAAUCUUCAGUUUUUGCUUUGUGAUGUAGUUUUGGAUUAAGGGAGGGGGAGGCAAAUGUGUUUGUGUAAAUAACCGAUUAUAAAUCAAAUUGCUAGAUUUAUAACCAUCUACAGUCCUAAACCAUUUUUUAGACAAAAGGUUGCCCCCGCUUUAUUGCAAGCACAAAGCGUACAGUUCUAAAUCAUGUGUUGUAUACCUUAACAUAUGUACCCCCUGAAUAAAAUUGCAUGUCUAUGCUUUUUUUAUGAUCUUGAAUCUUUCCAUUUCAAUUUUAUGCAUCAUUUAUCAAUACAAUCACAUCUCUUUUCAGGUUUGGUUUCCUCUUUUUUUUUGCCUAUUUUUAUGAUAGGUGAUUCCUUUUAUUUCUUAUACGUUUUGGGAUCACUGCAAUAUUGAAUACUCAUAGCUCUGUGUGUAGGGAGUUUGUAUCAUGUAUAGGAGCAAUAGAAAUGUGUCUCAGCAAGCAUAUACCCAAGGAAUAACAGAUUGGUAGUCAAUGUCAUAUACCCCUCCGGAUUUAUUUGUGGGCAAGGUUUAUUAAAUCAUCAAGCAAUUUAUUCAUUUUAGUUUAGUAUAUUUGCAUUCUGAUUCUGGUGUGUUUCUAUAUUCCUAAAUAUCAAUUUACUCUGGUACUUUUUGCGUAGCCCUCUGUCUGUUGGUGCAGCAUUUUUAGUUAUCAAUACCCUUAACAAAACAUUUUGAGCAUCCUUGCGUGUAACAUAUGAAAUUUCCAUUCCUAAAAUUAUGCUUUAGGUUUGAGUUAUCAUUUUUUUUCAGAUGAUUUGCCAUCUUCUUCAAUUGAUUUUAGUUCUUGCUUGGUGUUUGGUGUUAGAGAGUAGACUCAUACAAACCAAUGAUGCAACUAAUUCUUUUUGCAUUUUGGUCUUUAAAAUGCUUCUGCUCAUGUUCUAAUUUGCUCAUAAUUUUUCAAAAUUUUGCUUAAUAGGUUUCAAAAAAUUGCUUAUUGUAAUUUGUUGAGUUGAUUACCAGCAUAUAAAAUGCAAGGAUUAGUUGUGUGGGUUUUGAUUAUUUUUGCAUGCUCAUUUGUUUUAAGUUGCUUUUGAGUUCAUUAUAGUGCGCCUACAACUUGUAGCAAAAAUGCUUAUUCAGCAAAAAUAUAUAGUUGACCAAAAUAUUGCGUUCUUCAUUAUGGAAGUACUUUUUCAGUUUUCUAUGUGAAAUGCACCACUUGAAGUGUUCUCUAGUCAGAUAUUCCCUCCAACAUCUGUGCUACAAGCUAUCUGAUUGUCCUUUUUUCUCACUGUACUUUGCAGACUAUGAAUGCAAAUACUACAGCAUGUAAUGAGAAGAAAAAAAAUCUGAUAUGUUCAUU